rnacentral:lncRNA from 1 species
GGAGACUCAUGAUCAUUUUCCCCAUAUGCAGGAACCCAGGAAAAACUGAACAACCCACCUUCAAAAAGGAAGAAAUCUUUGUAAAACUGGGCCACCAGAGGAAAAAAACAACCCCCUCUGUAAUAGGAUCAAUUCAAGGGUCUUCAGCUGAGCGGCCUGCAUUAGCAUAACAUCUCUGACCUUUCCGGGUGAGCUUCUUGCGACACCACGUGCUGCUUUUCACCCUCAUCUGCCAAUCAUACCUGCUUCUUCAUGCACAGGUUUCCUUGCCCACAGAGCGUACUUUCCCACAAUUUCCCUCUAUAAUGUUGGCUGGCCGUGACCACACGUGGGCCCUCCUGCUUCUCUUGGCAUCUUUUCAUCUUCACCUCCCACAAACAACAGCCUUAUUCUUUCUUAUUUCCAAUCUCUGCCCAGCAGCAUGAACGAGAGAGAAAUAGCAGAGAUGAAUGAAUGAGUCACCAUGAGAGAGAGACAAGAAGAGGGCAGAGAGGGAGGAAGAUGGGGAAGGAAGAAAUAAAGUGAAGAAGGGAAGGAAAGAAAGGCGUGAGGACAAAUAGACAGGGUUGGAAGAGGGGAGAGCCGCAACCACAGGACAAGAGGGCGUCUGGACACCACCAGAAAGAGCACAGAUGCAGGGACCUCUCAGCAAACUUAACAGGGCAAACAGAAGAGAAAACAAGGAAAGGGCCCCAUGAAUUCAGGGAGGCUGCAGGGUUUUCUGAGCCCAGAAGUGAACAAAAACCAAGAGUCUGGAAAAAAUCAGCAGGGCAGUCUCAAAGACAAAUGCCAUCCACAUCAUUUACAAAAGUAGAAUGUUUUGUUUUAUAUUAACAAAUUAAUUCAGUUGCUUAGUCUACUUGUGGUCAACUAACUCUGCAUUUAAGCUCAGUGCAAAUGGCUUAAGCUCCUGGGAAUGAGGCCCCACUUGCAGGCCGGACAUAAGGAGGACAUAGUUGCAGGGUGAUAUGGUUUGGCUGUGUCGCCACCCAAAUCUCAUCUUGAAUCAUAGCUCCCACAAUUCCCAUGUGUUGUGGGAAGGACCCAGUGAAAGGUAAUUGAAUCAUGGGGGAGGGUCUUUCCCAUGCUAUUCUCGUGAUAGUGAAUAAGUCUCACGAGAUCUGAUGGUUUUAUUAAGGGGAGUUUCUUUGCACAAGCUCUCUUCUCUUUUCUGCCGCCAUGUGAGACCUGCCUUUCACCUUCCACCUUCCACCAUGAUUGUGAGGCCUCCCCUGCCACUUGGAACUGUGAAGUCCGUUAAACCUCUUUCUUUUGAAAAUUUCCCAGUCUUAGGUAUGUCUUCAUCAGUGGUGUGAAAACUAAUACACAGGCCAAGCUUUUAAUGAGUGAAAAAGGGAAGCCUGGCCCAAAUGAAAACUAAGCUAGUAGUCCACGUGACUAUUACUUUUGUUUUCCUAUUUCUCUGAUCAUUUUCCAGUGAAAUAUGGGUGCAAGCUUGUCCAAAGGUGUUUUCUUGUCUCAGAUAAUGCAACAAAAAUGUCCUGUGGCAAUCAACAACAGAAGUAACCCAUGCUAACCCAUUGCUGGUUGCUCAGUAAAGGGGCUGAGAUUUCACUGAAAGAUCUGGAAAGUGGUUUUCCCUUCAGGAUAAUGACUCAUCAAACAAGCAUGGAGCCUGCUCUUCUACCAAUAUUGUACAAAAGUGCACGGUACACAAUGUGCUCAUCAGCAGUAGACAUCAGAACAACCAAGUGUCCUUCAGCAUGAGUAAUAUUAAUUAAGUGAAAUGAAUGAACCUGGCUUCAUGGCGAUGGAUGGAGAAAAGAGCCUUCAUUAUAUGAAAAGGAAACCUGAUCCCCUGCUGCUGCUGCUGCUAGGGGAACUUCAUCCAAUAAAAAUAGGUAUCAAAGCUCAAAUAAAACAAAACAGAGAUGUCAUGUUGGAACAGAGUGCCUCUUAAAAAUUAAAGUGAAAAGGUAAAACAUAAUGUUAAAUAGAAUUUUAUGACAUAAGAAGAUGUUUCUGAUACUUUGUUAAGCGAAAAAGGUUAUAAAAACAUUUGUUCGUGAUGAUAUCAUUUUUUGUUAAUUUUAUAUAACUGAAUGUGUAUAGAAAACAUUGGCCUGGUGUACCCGAGACUGUUAACAGAGGUGGGAUUACAUACAGUUCUUUUGUAUUUUCCUGUGUUUUCCAAAUUUUCUACAAUAAACAUUAUUUUAACAAGUCAACUCUUCUGUAAAGCAUGAGGGCUUUGUUUUGAA